AGUGUGGCAACAGCCCUAGUGUUGUUGCCACACUUCAAAGGCAGAGGCCCCCUAUUGAAUAGUCGAUGUAAAAAGUAUCGAUUAGUCAAUUACCUGAUACUUAACAUCCUUAAUUUGGAGAGCAAACUGCUCUCCCGUAGAGACUCCAAACCAUCCUUGCUCCGUAUUGCCCAGAAAGGCUUCUGGUUGACUUGGGAGCUGUUCUGAGGCUAGAUUGGGUUGAAAGUAUCUCUUAAAGCCUCAUUGUCUCUUCCUGUUCACUUUUAUUCCUUCCUCUCCCGCGCCUUAAUACUGAGAGGUUUUGUCCUUGUAAGCCUGCCCGUGCAAAAUCUGCUUUUCAGUCUCCUUUAAGAGCCUGCAAGGAGUGCAGAGUGGACUGUUUUUAGCAAGCAAACUGCUGGCAUGAGGCUACUGUUGAGUGUAUUUGAGCUGUGGGCAUUUCCCAUGAUCUGCUCUUUGCAGAACUCCCCCGUCUCUGGACCCGUUUCUCUUUUCUAAUCCCUCCCUGGCCUCUCAUUGUGUGUGGGGGCAGGAAGGAGGGGACUGGAAGGGCUUGGAUGUGUGUUUUUCUUCAAGCUGGUCUUCCUCCCCCUCUUCCCUCUUGGCUCUGUUUUGGGUUAAAGAGAAUGAGAACAGUAUCUCCACCUCCGCCUCAAGAGGGUGAGAAAGUUAGCCAGCAGCUGUGAAAGGGCAGUAAACAGGGAGAGGAAACUUCUACUGUGAAAUCCUGGUGGCAGCUUCCCUUCAUUCAGGUUGCUGGAUCCUGGAGCCCAGGGGGGAGUGAGAAGAAGGGCUUUGAGGUCUAGUUUUAUGGGUGAGAUCAAUGUCCCUGCUAAUCUUUUUUCCAUCCACGUGUGGAAUAAUUUUUUACAUGCACUGAGGCACAUGUGAAUGUGCACCACCAGGAGAAACUAAAAAAUAGCUGCACGGCUCUGCUAAUCGGAGAUCUGUUUCUUGAGGCUGGCUGGUUCCGGGGAGAGGCUGAGUGUAUCUCAGCUGCCCACCGGAGGAGUUGCUACUUAAACCUUUACUGCGUGGGCUAAGGUUCAGUCCCUGCUGCUGGCCCAAGGGGAGCCUGUUUUGCUUCCUUGCUGCAGCAACAUGGAGAUUUGAUUUCAGUAAGAAAUUUCAUGGCAACUUUAAUCUUGUGUGGGAGGCAGCUGAUCUGCAAAGACGUUUUUCUCUUUCCACCUCACCCCGCCAGUAUGAGUGUGUGCAGCAGCAGCUUGGAAGUCUCCUUCAGUUAAUGACCCAGCCGCUGUUUUAAAACACCCUCUGCCACAGAGGUGCAUGGUUUUGAUGGGCUGACUCCUUGGCCGUGGAGUCAGGCUGCUUCUCUUGUGCGUGUUAACGUAAUAAACUUCCAAGCUGGGCAGGGCUUGUUAGUGUAGACUGCAGCUGGCAUCAUCCAGGGCUCAGAAUUACUCUUUGCCUUUGGGUUUUUUUUUCCCCUGGGCUGUCUUGUCCUGUCCUAUUCACUGCAGGACUCCUCCAGAAGGAAUUAAAAUAAGAGCAUGUCUACCAAUGUUCCCACUAAUCUAAUCAUUUCCAUCCAUGUGCGGAAUAAUGUUAUGUGCACCCAGGCAUGUGGGACUGCGCACGACCAGGAGAAACACAAAACUAGCUGUGAGUAUACUGCUAAUCUGCUGGGGGGCGCUGGAAUCUGAGCUUACAGGGGACACUGAUCUGGACCCUCAAGUUCUAGGAGUUACUUGCCUGUGUUCUGUAAAGCACUCAGACCUGCUGGUAAACUGCUUAGAAGAGCCAGGCUGUAGUGGCCCCUAAAGGUAGUCUCCCUGCUUGGGAGCUCUUAAAACUCCUGGAUGCUGGCAAGGAGAGGGCUCUGGUGGUCUGUGGUGGCUUCUUUGCCUUGGACUCCUGUGGCUGCUGGGAGUUGGAUGAAACUGUGUUCCCACCUCUGCUCGCCUUGGUCCUUUUUAGGCUGGCUCAGGGGACAAGGCCAGCUCUCCCCCUGGCUCGACAGGGGCUUUGGCUGGAUGGAAAGGUUGUGAGGGGCGCAGCAUGGAGGUUGGGCUGGUGCAGCAUCUCCCGGUUAGAGCCAUGCACUUGCUCAGCUACCAGGCAGGGUAGCUGAGUGGCUGGAAGGGGAGCGCGAGGCUAGAACUCUGGCAGGAGAGCAUGCCGGUGACUGGAGCAGAGCAUGGAAUUCCAGCAGUACUCAGUGAAUGACUAAGCCACCUCUUACUCCAUUUCCCCACUGCUCCUCCUGAGGAGCCCCGUGCUUCUCACAAGCCGGGACACUGCGCCAGACGGUCUGACCCAGCAGGGCCGUUCUUCUGUACCCACACUGUGGCGUCCUGAGAGCCUAAAACGACCCUCUGAAAAGAGGGCCCGUAGUGGCUUGAACCAGUAUCGCAGCGCCCUGGGAGCACAAUGAAACCAUGGAGGAUGCUCACCUGAGACCAAAGAAUAGCAGAGGCCCAGAGCAUGUGGCGCCGGUCCUGUGGCCGCCGGGGUCAGGCUGGAAAAGAGAUGUUGGCCUUUCAAAUGGGUCUUGUUUCGAGCUCCAUGCUCUGCUCAGUCCACUAAAAUCUUUCAGGCUGGUCCCCUCCCCUUGAAGUGCUCACUGGCCUAAAGUCACAGGGGGUCUUGUGCCAUUAAAAACCAGGCAGGACCUUCUAAGGUGCCCCUCUUGACAACCGCUUGCCUGAGGUGCUUUUUCCCAGGCUUGUGAGACGUUUCAACCCUACUUCUUAGAACAGUCGCAUCCCCCCACCAAGAUCCCAUUCUUGAGUGGACAGCCAAAGCCAAGCUGCUCUCUGAGGGGAAAUUGGGGGAGGCCGGAAAUGGAGUGGUUCUUUCCUGUUUCCUGCCAGCAGGCAGUUCCCCCUGUUUGUGUUGUCAAGGCAGGCUCA